UGGGGAAUUUUGGACAAUGGGCGAAAGCCUGAUCCAGCAAUGCCGCGUGUGUGAAGAAGGCCUUCGGGUUGUAAAGCACUUUUGUCCGGAAAGAAAUCCUUGGCUCUAAUACAGUCGGGGGAUGACGGUACCGGAAGAAUAAGCACCGGCUAACUACGUGCCAGCAGCCGCGGUAAUACGUAGGGUGCAAGCGUUAAUCGGAAUUACUGGGCGUAAAGCGUGCGCAGGCGGUUUGCUAAGACCGAUGUGAAAUCCCCGGGCUCAACCUGGGAACUGCAUUGGUGACUGGCAGGCUAGAGUAUGGCAGAGGGGGGUAGAAUUCCACGUGUAGCAGUGAAAUGCGUAGAGAUGUGGAGGAAUACCGAUGGCGAAGGCAGCCCCCUGGGCCAAUACUGACGCUCAUGCACGAAAGCGUGGGGGAGCAAAACAGGAUUAGAUACCCUGGUAGUCCCACGCCCUAAACGAUGUCAACUAGUUGUUGGGGAUUCAUUUCCUUAGUAACGUAGCUAACGCGUGAAGUUGACCGCCUGGGGAGUACGGUCGCAAGAUUAAAACUCAAAUGAAUUGACGGGGU
rnacentral:rRNA from 1 species